rnacentral:tRNA from 1 species
GGAGCGGUUGGCGUAGCGCGCAAAGCCCUCGGCUUGCUAAGCCGAAGGUCUCGGGUUCGAUUCCCGUUGGGUCCC